rnacentral:tRNA from 1 species
AGCAGCUUGGCGCAGUGGACAGCUUGUUGGGCUCAUAGCCCAAAGGUCCCUUGAUCGAAACAAGGAGCUGCUA